CCCGGCCCGCCUGGAUGGGGUUUCUGUUCUCCGUCCCUCCCGCAGCUGGGCACCGGGCGGGCGGCCCCACUUUGGACUUUCUGGCCGUAAUUAUGUAGAUCUAUGUCUGUCGCUAUGUCACGCAUCUGCAAAUGGAAGCUCAGCAUAUUUAAACAUCUCCGGGGCAAAUGAGAACGAAGGAAAGCCCCCGAGUUCUCCCGAGAGGACUAAGUUCCAGUGCCACUAGGCAGUCAGGGAUCAAACUCAGGACCUUGUGCUUGCAAGGCAGGCACUGGAACCACUGAGCUAAAUCCCCGGCUCUGAUGACUACAAUGUCUUGCCCAAGGCAGUGUCCCCCACGAGUCCGGCCAGAGGCCCAGAGCCCACGGCAGGGUCCCAUGCAAGUCCACAUUGAGCAUCUGCACCGGGAAGGCCCGAAGGCCACUGGUGGAAGCCAGAAAUCCUGUGGCACCAGCCUGAGGGGGCUCAAGGCGAAGAGCAGAGCUCCCCCGACAAGAACAGCAGCCAUCCCCGGCGACAGGGGGGACUCGAGCUCCUCCUCUGACAAUGAGAACAGCGGAGUUCGCACCAGGAAAACCAGCCGCGGCAAAGCCUCCCAGGAGCAUCAACAGCAUUCGAUCUUCACCUCCGGUUCUCCUUUUAUGCGGUUGGCAGCAGUCCUCAGGCGGGUCUUCCGCACCCAGAACCGUGCUGGCUCGGUUCAGCUGGGCCUUCCAGGAAGCUGACCGUUAGUCCUCCACACUACCUGAGUAUCACUUCGAAAGCUGAAAUAAGAUGCCUGAGCUGGGCGAAACCGGACCUAAGGCAGCAGAGGGGACACGCUGAAGGCAGACGCCACGCCUCUGGGCCCUCUUCAGCCGCCUCGAAGAUCUCUGGAGGCUCAAGCAGAAGCUCAGUGUUCUCAGAGAGAGUGGCCUUGGGUCCCCAGGAAGCGACCCAGGCAACUGUACCAUAACCCACACACUCGCAGUGCUGUUCGCUGCACCAAUCGCCCAGCUGUGUGACCUCCCUUUGGUGAUUUCUAAGUUGACUAAGACCAAGUGAAGCUAGACAGCUUACCUUCUGUGUGCGCGGGCGUGCACGUGUGUUACUAGGGACUGAACCCAAGGCCUUCACACUGAGCUAUGUCCAUAGCCUCUUGUGAAUAUUUUCUGUUUUGAGACAGGGUCUUGCUAAGUUGUCCAGGCUGGGCUCGAAUUUGGUGAUCCUCCUGUCUCAGCUUCCCAGAGUGCUGGGAUUUCAGGCAUGUGCCACCAUGCCCACCUGUUUCUGGGUUUCUAUCAGGGUCUCAGGUUUGCAGAAACACCAUGCUACAAAGGGUAAUCGUGUACCACACCCAGGAGUUGGUUUUCACCUCCCAGACUCUGUCCCAUCACUGUCUUGCCACGGUGG
ensembl:lncRNA